rnacentral:rRNA from 1 species
GACGAACGCUGGCGGCGUGCUUAACACAUGCAAGUCGAACGGAAAGGCCCUGCUUUUGUGGGGUUCUCGAGUGGCGAACGGGUGCGUAACACGUGAGUAACCUGCCCUUGUCUUUGGGAUAACUUCAGGAAACUGGGGCUAAUACCGGAUAGGAGCUCCUGCUGCAUGGUGGGGGUUGGAAAGUUUCGGCUGUUGGGGCUGGACUCGCGGCUUAUCAGCUUGUUGGUGGUGUAGUGGCUUACCAAGGCUUUGACGGUUAGCCGGCCUGGGAGGGUGACCGGCCACCAUGCGACUACGAUACGGACCAGACUCGUACGGGAGGCAGCAGUGGCGAAUAUUGCACAAUGGGAGCAAGCCUGAUGAAGCAACGCCGCGUGCGGGAUGACCGCCUUCGGGUAAUAAACCGCAUCCGCCUGAGACCAAGCGUGAGUGACGGUAACGGGUAAAGAAGCACCGGCUAACUACGUG